rnacentral:lncRNA from 1 species
GUCACAAUAUACUGUGACGUGAUAAUGUCUAUGAAUUUUGAUGUCAUAAUACAUGUGCAUUAUGAUGUCAUGAUAUAUUGUGAUGUUGUAGUAUAAAUUAUGAUGCCAUAAUAUAUUAUGAUGUCAUGUUGUGUGUGCAUUAUGAUGUCAUAAUAUAUUGUGAUGUCAUAAUACAUAUGAAUUAUGAUAUCAUAAUAUGUUGUAAUGUCAUAAUAUAUUUAUUUAUCACAUUAAUGGUAUAAUAACAUAAACUUUGUCAGGUAAUUUUACAAGAAAAUUCAGUGAAAUUUUGUAACAAUAUUAACAUCUAAAGUAGCUUAUAAUCAUGAUGAAAAAUGAAAGAGCUGCAGGAAUCUCACAUGGUAGGAGUUGAAACAGGAAAGAUCAGGGAGGGGUAUGCUUCACUUUUAAACCACCACAUCUCGUGAGUACUCACUAUGACAAGGACAGCACAGAGCCAUGAGAAAUCUAUCCCCAUGAUUCAACCAUCUACCACCAUGCCCCACCUGUAACAUUAGGGAUUAAAAUUCAAUAUGAGAUUUGGAGGAGACAUCUAAACUAUAUUAUAUGACCAUUAGUGUGGGCGAAAGGUCACCAAGGUGCCAAGGCAAGAGACUGAAACAAACUGUUUCAGUAUAAUAAAGAAAAUUGUUAGAAUAGAAUAGUCAUAAUACAAAUUAGAUAUAGAGAUGAUCAUGGGCAAGCCUGCCAGCCAACCAAGCCAGCCAAGCCAGCAAAGCCACCCAGCCAAAGCCAGCCAGCCAGCCAUGCCAGCCAGCCAGCAAGGCCAGCCAAGCCACCCAGCCAGCAAGGCCAGCCAAGCCCGCCAAGCCACCCAGCCAGCCAAGGCAGCCAAGCCUCCCAGCCAAAGCCAGCCAGCCUAGCCAGCCAGCGAGCCAAGCCAGCCAAGCCAGCCAAGCCACCCAGCCAGCCAAGCCAGUGAAGCCAGCCAGCCAACCUAGCCAGCCAAGCCAUCCAGCCAGCCAAGCCAGCCAAGCCAGCCAGCCAGCCAAGCCACACAGUCAGCCAGCCAGCCAAGCCAGCCAAGCCAGCACAGCCGGCCAAGCCAGCCAAGCCAUCCAAGCCAGCCAAGCCACCCAGCCAGCCAAGCCAGCCAAGCCACCCAGCCAAAGCCAGCCAUCCAGCCAAGCCAGCCAACCAGCCAAGCCAGCCAAUCCAGCCAGGCAGCCAGCCAAGCCAGCCAAGCCAGCCAAGCCACCCAGUCAAGCCACCCAGCCAAAGCCAGCCAGCCAGCCAAGCCAGCCAAGUGACCCAGCCAACCAAGCCACCCAGCCAAGCCAGCCAGCCAGCCAAGCCAGCCAAGCCAGCCAAGCCACAUAGCCAGCCAAGCCAGCCAAGCCACAUAGCCAGCCAAGCCAGCCAAGCCAGCCAUCCAGCCAAGCCUGCCAAUCCAGCCAGACAGCCAGCCAAGCCAGCCAAGCCAGCCAGCCAGCCAGCCAAGCCAGCCAAGCCAGCCAUCCAGCCAAGCCUGCCAAUCCAGCCAGACAGCCAGCCAAGCCAGCCAAGCCAGCCAGCCAGCCAGCCAAGCCAGCAAAGCCAGCCAAGCCAGCCAAGCCAUCCAUCCAGCCAAGCCAGCCAAGCCACCCAGCCGGCCAAGCCAUCCAAGCCAGCCAACCAACCCAGCCAGGCAAGCCAGCCAAGCCACCCAGUCAAAGCCAGCCAGCCAGCCAAGCCAGCCAAGCCAGCCAGCCAGCCAAGCCAGCCAAGCGGCCCAGCCAGCCAAGCCAGCCAGCCAGCCAGCCAAGCCAGCCAAGCCAUCCAUCCAGCCAAGCCAGCAAAGACAGCCAAGCUACCCAGCCGGCCAAGCCAUCUAAGCCAGCCAACCAACCCAGCCAGGCAAGCCAGCCAAGCCACCCAGUCAAAGCCAGCCAGCCAGCCAGCCGGCCAAGCCACCCAAGCCAGCCAGCCAGCCAGACAAGCCAGCCAGCCAGCCAAGCCAGCCAAGACAGCCAAGCCACAGAGCCAGCCAAGCCAGCCAGCCAGGCAGCCAAGCCAGCCAGCCAAGCCAGCCAAGCCACCCAGCCAGCCAAGCCAGCCAAGCCACCCAGCCAAAGCCAGCCAUCCAGCCAAGCCAGCCAACCAGCCAAGCCAGCCAAUCCAGCCAGGCAGCCAGCCAAGCCAGCCAAGCCAGCCAAGCCACCCAGCCAAGCCACCCAGCCAAAGCCAGCCAGCCAGCCAAGCCAGCCAAGUGACCCAGCCAACCAAGCCACCCAGCCAAGCCAGCCAGCCAGCCAAGCCAGCCAAGCCAGCCAAGCCACAUAGCCAGCCAAGCCAGCCAAGCCACAUAGCCAGCCAAGCCAGCCAAGCCAGCCAUCCAGCCAAGCCUGUCAAUCCAGCCAGACAGCCAGCCAAGCCAGGCAAGCCAGCCAGCCAGCCAGCCAAGCCAGCCAAGCCAGCCAAGCCAUCCAUCCAGCCAAGCCAGCCAAGCCACCCAGCCGGCCAAGCCAUCCAAGCCAGCCAACCAACCCAGCCAGGCAAGCCAGCCAAGCCACCCAGUCAAAGCCAGCCAGCCAGCCAAGCCAGCCAAGCCAGCCAGCCAGCCAAGCCAGCCAAGCGGCCCAGCCAGCCAAGCCACCCAGCCAAGCCAGCCAGCCAGCCAAGCCACCCAAGCCAGCCAGCCAGCCAGACAAGCCAGCCAGCCAGCCAAGCCAGCCAAGACAGCCAAGCCACACAGCCAGCCAAGCCGGCCAGCCAGGCAGCCAAGACAGCCAUCCAAGCCAGCCAAGCCAGCACAGCCGGCCAAGCCAGCCAAGCCAUCCAAGCCAGCCAAGCCACCCAGCCAGCCAAGCCAGCCAAGCCAGCCAGCCAAAGCCGGCCAGCCAGCCAAGCCAGCCAAGUGACCCAGCCAGCCAAGCCACCCAGCCAAGCCAGCCAGCCAGCCAAGCCAGCCAAGCCAGCCAAGCCAGCCAAGCCACAGAGCCAGCCAAGCCAGCCAAGCCACAUAGCCAGCCAAGCCAGCCAAGCCAGCCAUCCAGCCAAGCCUGCCAAUCCAGCCAGACAGCCAGCCAAGCCAGCCAAGCCAGCCAGCCAGCCAGCCAAGCCAGCCAAGCCAUCCAUCCAGCCAAGCCAGCAAAGACAGCCAAGCUACCCAGCCGGCCAAGCCAUCCAAGCCAGCCAACCAACCCAGCCAGGCAAGCCAGCCAAGCCACCCAGUCAAAGCCAGCCAGCCAGCCAGCGAGCCAAGCCACCCAAGCCAGCCAGCCAGCCAGACAAGCCAGCCAGCCAGCCAAGCCAGCCAAGACAGCCAAGCCACAGAGCCAGCCAAGCCAGCCAGCCAGGCAGCCAAGCCAGCCAGCCAAGCCAGCCAAGCCACCCAGCCAGCCAAGCCAGCCAAGCCACAUAGCCAGCCAAGCCAGCCAAGCCACAUAGCCAGCCAAGCCAGCCAAGCCAGCCAUCCAGCCAAGCCUGCCAAUCCAGCCAGACAGCCAGCCAAGCCAGCCAAGCCAGCCAGCCAGCCAGCCAAGCCAGCAAAGCCAGCCAAGCCAGCCAAGCCAUCCAUCCAGCCAAGCCAGCCAAGCCACCCAGCCGGCCAAGCCAUCCAAGCCAGCCAACCAACCCAGCCAGGCAAGCCAGCCAAGCCACCCAGUCAAAGCCAGCCAGCCAGCCAAGCCAGCCAAGCCAGCCAGCCAGCCAAGCCAGCCAAGCGGCCCAGCCAGCCAAGCCACCCAGCCAAGCCAGCCAGCCAGGCAAGCCACCCAAGCCAGCCAGCCAGCCAGACAAGCCAGCCGGCCAGCCAAGCCAGCCAAGACAGCCAAGCCACACAGCCAGCCAAGCCGGCCAGCCAGGCAGCCAAGACAGCCAUCCAAGCCAGCCAAGCCACCCAGCCAGCCAAGCCAACCAAGCCAGCCAAGCCACCCAGCCAGCCAAGCCAGUGAAGCCAGCCAGCCAGCCAAGCCAGCCAAGCCAUCCAGCCAGCCAAGCCAGCCAAGCCAGCCAGCCAGCCAAGCCACCCAGUCAGCCAGCCAGCCAAGCCAGCCAAGCCAGCACAGCCGGCCAAGCCAGCCAAGCCAUCCAAGCCAGCCAAGCCACCCAGCCAGCCAAGCCAGCCAAGCCAGCCAGCCAGCCAGCCAAGCCAGCCAAGCCAUCCAUCCAGCCAAGCCAGCCAAGCCAGCCAGCCGGCCAAGCCAUCCAAGCCAGCCAACCAACCCAGCCAGGCAAGCCAGCCAAGCCACCCAGUCAAAGCCAGCCAGCCAGCCAAGCCAGCCAAGCCAGCCAGCCAGCCAGCCAGCCAAGCCACCCAAGCCAGCCAGCCAGCCAGACAAGCCAGCCAGCCAGCCAAGCCAGCCAAGACAGCCAAGCCACACAGCCAGCCAAGCCAGCCAGCCAGGCAGCCAAGCCAGCCAGCCAAGCCAGCCAAGCCACCCAGCCAGCCAAGCCAGCCAAGCCACCCAGCCACAGCCAGCCAUCCAGCCAAGCCAGCCAACCAGCCAAGCCAGCCAAGCCAGCCAGGCAGCCAGCCAAGCCAGCCAGCCAGCCAAGCCAGCCAAGCCACACAGCCAACCAAGCCAGCCAAGCCAGCCAGCCAGCCAGCCAGCCAAGCCAGCCAAGCCACACAGCCAACCAAGCCAGCCAAGCCAGCCAGCCAGCCAAGCCUGCCAGCCAACCAAGCCAGCCAAGCCACCCAGCCAAAGCCAGCCAGCCAGCCAAGCCAGCCAAGCCACACAGCCAACCAAGCCAGCCAAGCCAGCCAGCCAGCCAAGCCUGCCAGCCAACCAAGCCAGCCAAGCCAGCCAAGCCACCCAGCCAAAACCAGCCAGCCAGCCAUGCCAGCCAGCCAGCCAGGCCAUAAUUUCAUCAUUCCACUUCAUCAUUCCACUUCAUCAUUUCAUUUCAUUUCAUUUCAUCAUUUCAUUUCAUUUCAUCCUUUCAUUUCAUCUCAUCAUUUCAUCCUUUCAUUUCAUCAUUUCAUCUCAUCAUUUCAUCUCAUCAUUUCACUUCAUCUCAUCAUUUCAUCAUUUUAUCUCAUGAUUUCAUUUCAUCUCAUGAUUUCAUUUCAUCUCAUCAUUUCAUCUUUUCAUCUCAUCAUUUCAUUUAAUCAUUUUAUUUCAUUUUAUCUUUUCAUCUCAUCAUUUCAUCAUUUCAUUUCAUCGAUUCAUCAUUUCAUCAUUUCAUUUCAUUAUUUCAUCAUUUCAUCAUUUCACUUCAUCUCAUCAUUUCAUCAUUUUAUAUCAUUUCAUUUCAUCAUUUCAUCUUUUCAUCAUUUCAUUUCAUUUCAUGAUUUCACUUCAUUUCUUCAUUUCAUUUCCUCAUUUCAUUGCACCAUUUCAUCACUUCAUCAUUUCAUCAUUUCAUUUCAUC